GUUGUUUUUGGGCUAUUAACUGCAUCUAGUACAGUGGUCUAAAAAUUAUGGGUUGGUAUUCAUUUGAAAUCUCUUUGAGUCUAGAUUCGAACAAAACAAGAAUCAACUCAUUUGAAGUUUGGUGAAGAAAGUUAUGAGCAAAACAAUCAGCGGAGGUCAGAGGUGGCAGGAAUGUGUAAAAUGUUAACUUUAAGGAAUUAAUUGCUCCUACUCAGAUGUCCAAAAAUCACAAAUUAGUAGUCAUUGGAAAGCAUUUUGAGUGUAUUUUCUAAUAAAAAAAGAAUCACGUCAUUUGGAGGUCUGUGGAAAAAGUUAUGAUUAAAAUAGUCAUCAAUGGUCAAAGUUGACAACAUGUUAUCUCACUCAAAUUGCCUUUGGGGAGUGAUGUUCUCAAAGCUGGGUUCAUGACUUAGCUAACAUGAUCAUCAUACCAACAUUGGGUCUUUCCACCACCAUUUACUCACACUUAAACACUAAAAAAAGGUCUCAUCCAUUCAAAAAAUAUGAAAAACUUAUGUAAAAUUUCUUUGGCUACUUAUGUGCCCAC
rnacentral:lncRNA from 1 species